GACGAACGCUGGCGGCGUGCCUAAUACAUGCAAGUAGAACGCUGAAGGAGGAGCUUGCUUCUCCGGAUGAGUUGCGAACGGGUGAGUAACGCGUAGGUAACCUGCCUGGUAGCGGGGGAUAACUAUUGGAAACGAUAGCUAAUACCGCAUAAGAGUAGAUGUCGCAUGACAUUUGCUUAAAAGGUGCAACUGCACCACUACCAGAUGGACCUGCGUUGUAUUAGCUAGUUGGUGAGGUAACGGCUCACCAAGGCAACGAUACAUAGCCGACCUGAGAGGGUGACCGCCAACACUGGGCCUGAGACAGGGCCGAAACUCAUAGGGGAGGAGGCAGAGGGGAUUCGCGGACAAGGGAGGGAAGUAGGACGGAGCAACGCGGGGGGAGUGAAGAGGUUGUGGGGAUCAAAAAGCUCUGUGGAAGGAAAAGAAGGGGUGUGGGGGGGGAAGUUUCCCACUGGCAGGGAAUUUUACAAGAAGGGGAGGGUAAACCCGGGG
rnacentral:rRNA from 1 species